CAGCUCCAUCGAUCCAAGCCGUGGAACCAGCAGCUGAAAAAAAAAAGCGAGAAGGGAAUCGAUCUGAGGGAAACGGCAGCUGCUGAGGAUUAGAGCCCGAGGUCCACGCGCUGUCCAACGGCCACCCCUCCCCUGCGUCAGCCUGGCCCUGCAGUCUCAGGCUGGCCCCCGAGGGAGAGUCACAAGCGCAGCUUCCCUUGAGGGUUCAGGUUGCUGCUCAGCCUGCCCUGGCUGCAAUACCAGGUCGGGCCCCUGGUGAGGGGUACCCCAGUGUGUAAUCCCCCUGCACACCUGGUCCUAGCCAUGCAUGGUGCUCUGACUAGAUGCUCCCAGCCUUUCAGCAAAGUGGCUUCCCAGGGUCCCACAGCUGGGUUUCCCCACAAGCUUCCUUCCCGAGAGUCUUAGGUCAGCAGGUUCCCAAAGCUGGGAAGACCCCUGGGGACAGGUUCAAGUGCUGCUUUUGGCUGGGACACAGCAGAAGUACAGUUGGUACUGGAAGCAGGCGCUGAGUUCCUAUGGAACAAUCCAGGUUACUUCAGUUUGGGGCUCUGCCAAGAAAGUGGGAGCUGCCCCCAAGUCUCCCCCCAGCCCUCACCACUCCCCUGAUAUCCUGUCUGAAUUCCUUGCUAUCUGCUGAGCUCUCAGGGUCAAGCUGUCUCCACCGUAAGCUGACCUCCAUCAUGACACCCUCCCCCGCUUCUGAUCGGCAGGGACUCUUCCACCUCUAAAAGGGAAGACGUUGGGUGGUAACUCCAUGCCGGGGGGUUGGGGUGGGGUCUGUAGGGGAACUCCAGGGCAUUGGAAUGAAGCCGCAGUUUGUUACACGCAGACUCUCACCAUUGCCCGGUGGCCAGCUGUCUCUAAUUGUCCGCAAGUCCCUACGAUCCAGUCUCCCAGACCUCCUGGAAUCAGGUCAUGCUCAGUGGGGACCCCCGUCCUCCCAUCCCAUCUCUUGGCGGUUUCCACUCACUCUCCCCACCCGCAGCCCCUUCUGGCCCCCUUUCUAUUCCUCCAUACCCCCUUUGCCUCUGGUCCUGUCCCC
ensembl:lncRNA LOC108351955 uncharacterized LOC108351955